GGAAGCGUGACCGAGAGGUUUAAGGUACCGGUCUUGAAAACCGGCGUGAUUGAAAGAUCACCGAGGGUUCGAAUCCCUCCGCUUCCG
rnacentral:tRNA from 1 species